AUGAGCAAGUGCACCUCUGGAACGUCAGUAAUGGCCAGAGACUGGUGACCUAUGCAAUCGAAGCACCGCCGACUCUGGAAUCAUUUCAGUCAACGGCUCGGCUGCGUUUCACGCAGCGUCGGUGACCUAUUGAUCAUCGCUGCAUUCGGGCAUUUCUCAGAGGCUGAAGCGUCCAACCAUGCACCUCGGGUGGUAUUUGU
rnacentral:rRNA from 1 species